UCCCUGGUAGUCUAGUGGGUUAAGGAUACAACACUGUCACUGUUGUGGCUCAUGUUCAAUCACAUGCCAUGGGU
rnacentral:tRNA from 1 species